CUGAGCCACUGUUGCCACCGUGCGGGCGUUUGGCAGAGAGAUGCUCUGCAGCCUCAGAGCCCGGGCAGCGGUGGAGUGAUAUCCCUGCAGUUCAACUGCCCAGAGCUGCCCCUCUGCCAUUGCUAUGAAUCGGUGCUAAUUGCUACCGGUGAGCAAUGGGCUGUGCCACCGCGGCUCCUGCACCUGAGGACUCUAAUCAAGUUUUCCAGAGCCGCGGUCCAAAUGAGGAUCUGUGUGCAGAAUAUCCGACCCAGGAGAACGGGAUGGAGCUUUGCAUGGGAAGCAAUGCCAGGCUGGAAAUUUCCAAAGCGCUCAGCGGUUCACCUGCACUGCAGCGCAGACCACAUCCCCUCCGUGCACAGCUCUGCCAGCCCUGAGCUCCUGCUCGCAGGUGGAUGGGUUGCACUCAGCGCUGGAAGAGUGUUGUAAGGCAGCUUUAUAAUCGCUUUAUAAUCUCUGAAAUUGCUUUCUACCAUUAUUUCCGCUCCUGGAUCCAACUGUCCAUCAGCAGCUUUCAGUGCAAAUGUGUUUUUUAAUGCUUGUCUUGCAGUGUUUUGCAAACAAUGGACCCAUUAUUGUCUUGAGUUCAGAUGGCCUGCUUACACGUAACCAUGGCCAUCCAUAUAACCUCCUUGUUCCGUUGAACGGUGCAGAGGAUGCAAACAAUGUGUGCUGUUCUGAGAGCAAAUGCAGAAGUGAUCCAUACUGCACAGGUCACAGCGGAGCCUGGCCGUUAAUUGGCUGUACAGUUGUAGGAGAAGGGAGGAAAACCCAACCACAGCCCAUCUUUGUAGCUGGGCCAAAGGUGGGCAAGAUCACAGCUGAAGUGCUCACGUGGGCUCCUGAUUGUGGAAACACGCUGAAUAUGUGAUACAAUGUGAAGUUACGUAACACCUUUAAUGAAAUUCUUGGCGAUAAAACAAUGCAUAAAAAGAACAGAUGUGGCAAAUUGCAGCCCCGGUCUGAUCCCUUUCUCUGGUUGGUUUAGUGAAAACAAUGGAGUUGAUUUAAAUUCAUUUUUUAAUUUUCUUUCUUCAAAAUGUCCACAGGCAAAGAAAGAAAAGAAAAAAAAAAACAAAAAAAAAAACCUCCAAGUCCAAAUGGGGUCUUGUAUGGAGAGCUGUGAGCUCCAGUGAGGGAAAUGGGGGGGCCAGCCCUGCCUGUGGGGCUCCUGCUGCGGUGUGGGACACAACCCUGAGCUGUGUCCCUGCUGGCAGAGCAGUUCAAUGAGUCUGAGCUUGCCCAGGUCUCCAUAUGUUCAGGAAUGGACGGUCCCUCACCGAGCUGCUGUUUGUGUAAGGCCCUGAAGCAGCACAAGGCAAAGCUUGGUGUCCCCCCAGCACCAAUGCUGAGUGGAGUCCAGCUCCUGGCCUCCAACCUGUUGCCAGCCCCAUGGGUUUCCCACAAGGUCCCGGGCUGUGGGGCUGCAUGGCCGAUAAGGGGCUGCAGGCUCUAAUCAGAGCUGCAUCUGCAUGCACUGUGGCUCCUGAUAAGGGCAGCAGGCUCAAGCGAUGGACUCCUGUUUGUUGUGGUACACAGUGCCCUGAAUAUGGGCAAGCUGCUGCUUCAGCCCCUAAAACCAGACCCAGAGCUUUGAACAGCAAAGCAAUGCUCUGUUGCUGCUGCACAAGCAAGAAGGCAAUGGCUGUGGCUGGGGGUUGGUUGGUUGCUGUAUUUUUUGUAAUCCUCUUUCUGCUUUCUGGCUAUUAGCAUUGUAUAUAGCUGGCUUUCUACAACAGCUCAUGUUCUGGCUCCAUUGAGGCAACAGCUCCAUAAUAACUGUGCUUCCUGAAACCAAGCCCCAGCUCUGCUCUGGGAUGGCCCAUCAGCAUGGCUGGCUGAGAUGUGCCAUUAGCUCUGGGUAUUGUCUGAAGUAUUUUUGUUCUUGGAUGGAAGAAAACAGCAGGACAUUUUGAAUGAAAAUAGGAAAAAUGGCAUUAGCAGCUGAUCUUUUAAUAGAUGAAAAGCCUUCAAGCUAAAGGCUUCUGACUUAAAAAGGGAAAUUUCAACGGAAAGAGGGAAGUGACUGUUUUGAAAGAGUUCGGGUGGAGGAUCAAACUGAAAGGAUCUUGUGCAACUCUGCUUUUUAGGUCUAGUGCCAAAUCCAUCCAUUUAUUCCUUACCAUGGGGAAAUCGCUGAGGAAUGCCAGGAAAAAGACAGGUCUCUGGUCUGGCUGGAAGCACACAGCACCUUGCGUGGUCAGAUCCUCAUAUCUGUCUCUGGUUUUGGGUUCUGUCUGUUCUCUGCUGCCAUAGUUGGACAGCUGGGGGCUCUGAUAAAGGAUGGGGAGAUAAGAGGCUCUCUGCCACCCCUCCCUGCCCUGCAGCUCCUGCAUGCUAAGGCUCAGCUCUCGGAACCCCAUGAGCUCUACUAAACGUGUGAGAAAGUGGCUCUCAAAUGGAAUGGGUCUCAUGCACCCCUGUCUGUGGGGGACAUUUAAGUACAAACGCUUUGGGGGAAAAAAUGAUAUGGGGAAAAGAAUUAAAGUGUACUUAGAAGAGAGCAGAUUCCCUUCAACCAGCGCCCAUUGUGUCUCUCAAGAGGAUGCCCUUAGAGCUCUGGAACAGCUUUACCUUGAGUAAAAUCCAUAUUACUGAUGCAGCAGAGUGGGCACAGGCACACCCUGAGGGAGACAGAUAUAACACAGCUGAGGAUGUGCUGAGGGAGAGCGCACAACUGAGCACAAAAGAUCUGGGCGAAAGAGCACGUGCUGCAGCUGAACUCCUAAAGCCCUCUCCAAACCAGAGGCUAAGCUAAUGAUGAGACAUGAAGACCGUUUAGAGACAGCACGACUCCAGCAAUCCAUGAGAACAAUGCAAAGUUCAAAAAUAGCAGUAUCGACUGGUGGAAAAACAACAUACAUAUAAUUUUCAGGUAAUUACUAUAGUAUAAUUAGCUCUCUUGUUUUCCUAAGAGCCGGCUGAAAUGAACUGUGCUUGCUGCUCGAGCUCAGCCUUAUUUACAGUGUUCCCAGGACUAAAGCGAUCCUUUAAAAAAUCGAGAUUAGGUAAAAAAAAUAAAGACAGGAGUGCUUAGUAGGAGAUAGCAUCUCCGUGCUGUGGGUGGAGGCUGGCUGCUGGCGUCUCCGUCAGCAUUUCACCCGGCUCUGCUCCCAGCCUCAUUAGACGACAUCAGAGCUGAAGGACUGCAGCACAGAUGCAAAAUCUGCUCCUGUGCUAUCUGUGUUACUUCCCUGCGUGGUCUUCUGGGGGCAAGAGAGCUGGAAAAUGGUACGAUGUGGGGAGGAAAGAGGCUCAGACUGUAGCAUGCCUCUAUCUUUUUCCAGAUCACUGCCUGUGACCGAUGCCCUGUGCAAAAUUGUUACAAAACAGGACUGUGUGGAAGUGCUGCAUUUCACAUGUACAGUGCAGUGGGAGUGCAAAGAGGGGGAGCAACGUAGCACUGUAACAGGGAUUUACUCUCAGAGUUCUGGAAAAUGUAGUUCCUUGAGCUCUUUAAUUUUUUUUUUUCUCUGCCACAGAACUUUCCUUGUUAGGAAUUAUUUGGUAUCUGUAGAAUGUAACUUCUUGUGUGAGGAAGCCUUGCAGUCUUAAUUGAAAUCACUAGUAAUCAAAAUGGAAGAGUUUGUCCAAAACGAAAAGCUUGGUUUUGUUGGUGUUGUAAGUCUGCAUGGUUUAUUAUAAACCCGCCCCACCUCUCUGAAGGUACUUGGAAGCAGAAAACUUUCUGCAGCUUCCUGUCUUUGGGUUUGGGUUGUCCUUGGCCCGGGGAGGACAUGGCUGUGGCACAGAGCUGCACUCACCAUGGCCCAAGGUGAGCCGGUCGCAGUGCUUUCUGCUCCUUGUUCCCCAUCUACGUGCUGUGAAAAUGGGUGCUAAUGGGGAAAAAUCACAAUUGUGACUCAGUGACGUGGAAUUUUGUUGACAAAAUCUGAAUUCAGCUCAGCCAAAGGAAAUGCUUUUGCAAGUGUAGAUGAAUAUCUCAAGAAUGACCAUUAAUUCUAGCAUUCUUGGGGAAGAAAAAGAAGAGCGGAAAGAAAGGAAAAAAGAAGAUGAACAUUCAAAUCCAUUUUCUCACCAGAGAAAGGUGAGCAAAUGUACACGCAGAAACAGAUUCAUUCCUUGGGGGCAGUUAUUUUCUGAGAUAAAACUUACAGGGGUUACCUUUGGGUAAGUUAAACCAGUGCUGGGAGCGUUUGGUAGGAAGGUAGGAUGCGGUUGCCUUCUUAGCUAGGAUGGUGUGUAACGUGUGUGCCUCAUCUCAGUACAGAAGGCAGUUCUCCUGUCGCACAGUAUCAUCCAGUGCAAUCGAGUUUUGAAUCAUAGAAUCAUUAAGGUUGGAGAAGACCUCUAAGAUCACGCAGUCCAACUGUCAGAUCAUCCCCACCAUGCCCGCUAACCACGUCCCUCAGUACCACAUCCAUGCAGUUCUUGAACUCCUCAAGGGAUGAUGAAUCCACCAUCUCCCUGGGCAGUCUGUUCCAAAAUAUCAGCAAGGCUGAACGAAUGUAUUUUCACGUGAGCACUCUGCAGCAGUGGUCAUCCAGCCUUUAUUUUUCUUCCCACAUCGUGCUUUAUGAAGGUGUUAGACUUACAGGGUUUGAGCAGGAGGGAACCUCCUCUCCUGGGGAACCAUAGGAAGACCCCGUCCUGUCCAUCCUCACUGAAAACCACCUCUAUUUGACAUCACCACUACUUAAUUUUGACACAGUCCGUGUAUAGAAUAGCUUAACUCCAAAGGGCGGGCCUUAAGAACAUUAGCAGGGCGCUAUGAGCCAGCAGAUAUUGCCCAUUGGUAGUAGGGAGGAAAAGGCUAAGCAAAUAGUUUUAAAGAAUGGGCUAAUUGUGUGCCUAUUGCCAUUGUCCUGCAGCUGCAGUGCUUUGUAUGGCAGCAAAGUGCACGGGGAGCCAAGCUUGGCUUGGCAUCCAUAACUCCAGCCUGGGAAUACAAUAUACAGGGCAUGCAAGUAUCAGAGAGGACAAUUAGAAAUUUUGAAAGAUUAAACACAAAAUUGCAAUGGAAAAAGAGUUUGUAUAGCAGCCAAGGCAGGCUUUGAGGGCUUGGUGUUGUAAAAUGCACUCGUGUACAGUAAGAAGGCAAGUUGAUAUUUAGGAACUGAAAAAACAGGAAACAUGCAGAUGAGGCUCGUAUGUGUCACACUGUAACGCUGCAUGUGUAAUUAAAGAUGAUAGUAACUCAUUUACAUGUGCUUUCCAUCCUGCAAUAACACUGUUCUAUCAGCAGGCCUAAGGACAUAAAACAGGUAACCUUAACAGAACGGUUCAGAUUUUUUCCCUAAUUUAGGAUUUUAGGUGGUUAGCUCUCUGUGCAUUUUAAUAACACAGGCACCAGUGAUGUAAUUAAUGCUCUUACCUAAAUAAGUACCAGCCUUUAUUUUGGGCCUAAUUUGAGAUGGUGGUAAUGUAACAUUGCACUUAGCUGUGCAUUCAGGGGAGAUGUGUGCACCAGCUGAGUUUGUUACUUUACAUUGCUGAACUUACUGAAUAGCACAUGGAGCCAUUCUAUGUACGUUGUAUAUAAAGAAUUAAAAGAAUCUAUUCUAUCACUUGACAUGCUGGCUACUCCAUUCUGC
ensembl:lncRNA